rnacentral:lncRNA from 1 species
UGGGAAUGGCCGGAGCGUCUGAGGGCAGAGUUGGCUGCAGAGUCUAUACAAAAGUAGCUUUGAUUUACUGUCAGAACCUAGAAACCAACUUGCUCUCAAUUUAGUGUUCUUAGUAUUAUUUUUUGACUUUAACCUAGAAAGCACUUUUAAACGUUAUGGAAUUAAAUGACUUUUUUUGGUCCAGCCACAAGGAACUGAUAUGAACAAGGGAGAUAUUAUUUUAUGUAAUGGAAGCCACAGUACCUAGCACAA